CAGACUGUAACCAUGCCGUAGUGUGUGUAAACAUCCUACACUCUCAGCUGUGAGCUCGAGGUGGCUGGGAGAGGGUUGUUUACUCCUUCUGCCAUGGAAAACGUC
ensembl:miRNA MIR30C1 microRNA 30c-1